CGGGGCCAGGCUGCCUCGCUAAACGAUGCACACCUGUAACUCACGUGACCCUGAUUAUGAUUGAAAUGAGAACGAGGGCGUCGUGCCUUUAUAAGACUGCGUUAAUGUUUCCGUGGAGUUAUCCCUUCCGUUGUUGUUUAUUGAUUGUUAAACAUGGCUUCAUUUGCAAAGGUGGUUGUGUGUCUCCUCAUUGCUUGUGUCUGUAAUGCAUUCUGUUUUCCGAAGAGAGAUGUGAACUUUAAGGCCUCUGCAGUUGACCGACAAAGUGAUGAUGUGGUUGUCACCACAACACCAGUUCCCCACAACCAGACCACAUCUGUCAAUACUGAAGCUGGUGGUGCAAGUGAAGAUGCUGUGGCUACUACCCCAGCACCUAAUCCACACAACCAGACAACUCCUGCACAAACUGAAGUUACUGAUGGAGCCAGUGAAGAUGCUGUGGACCGCCAAAGUGAUGAUGUGGUUGUCGCCACAACACCCGAUCCCCACAACCAGACCACAUCUGUCAAUACUGAAGCUGGUGAUGGAGCAAGUGAAGAUGCUGUGGCUACCACCCCAACACCAAAUCCUCCAACUACAUCUGACCACACUGCAGCUACCGAUGAUCCAAGUGAGGGUGCUGUGGCUGCCCAAACUGGAACUACUGGCAAGGGAGUUAUGAUUAUACAAGGAACCACUUGGAUGGUUCAAACUGUUUGCUCUAAAAAUGUAUUAACAAGGAAUCUGAUGCAGUGCAAGGGUCU
ensembl:lncRNA